GACGAAGGGGGCUAGCGUUGUUCGGAAUUACUGGGCGUAAAGCGAGUGUAGGUGGUUGUCCAAGUUGGAUGUGAAAGCCUUGAGCUCAACUCAAGAAAUGCAUUCAGGACUGGGCGGCUAGAGGACCGGAGAGGAUAGUGGAAUUCCCGGUGUAGUGGUGAAAUACGUAGAGAUUGGGAAGAACACCAGUGGCGAAAGCGCUCUACUGGACGGUAUCUGACACUGAGGGACGAAAGCUAGGGGAGCGAAUGGG
rnacentral:rRNA from 1 species